rnacentral:rRNA from 1 species
AACGCGAAGAACCUUACCUGGGCUCGAAAUGUUAUGGACCGGGGUAGAAAUAUCCCUUCCCCGCAAGGGGCCGUAAUAUAGGUGCUGCAUGGCUGUCGUCAGCUCGUGUCGUGAGAUGUUGGGUUAAGUCCCGCAACGAGCGCAACCCUUAUCUUCAGUUGCUACCAUUUAGUUGAGCACUCUGACGAAACCGCCUCGGAUAACGGGGAGGAAGGUGGGGAUGACGUCAAGUCCUCAUGGCCUUUAUGUCCAGGGCUACACACGUGCUACAAUGGCCGGUACAAACCGUCGCAAACCCGUGAGGGGGAGCUAAUCGGAAAAAGCCGUCCUCAGUUCGGAUUGCAGUCUGCAACUCGACUGCAUGAAGCUGGAAUCGCUAGUAAUCGCGGAUCAGAACGCCGCGGUGAAUACGUUCCCGGGCCUUGUACACACCGAGACGAC